ensembl:lncRNA
CUGAAACUCAUCCAGUAAAUGAGUGAACAUGUGGACCAGACUGACAGGACACCCUGAAGAGAGAAACACAUCAGUUUAGAGUCAUGCUGUCAAUCCAGCACCAACCUGGUGCUCCAGCAUCCGCUGACCUUCGUUCAUCUCCAAGGAUGUGCAAACUGAGGGAGCAGUUCUUCUCUCCACCUUUAAUCACAGAUGGAGAUAUAGAUGGCUUCAAUGUAGAGAUGAGGAGGAAUAUCAGUCCUGGACUCCAUCAACAAUGAGACGACAGAGCGGAGAAAAUCUGCAUAAACAACAAAGCACAGCCUCCAGCCAUCAGAAUCCAAUCACAGCCGCUCAGAGGAACAGGAAAUGGACGUCUCUGGAUUGUGUCUCUUCUCGCUGUCUGUCUGCGUAAUGGGAUUAAAAGGCCAGAUCUGAGCGCUGCCAUGCAGUUCUGCUAGAAUAAACACCAGAGCUGCAGGAGCUCCUGCUCUUGAGUUUGGACGAGCCAGACACGUUAAGUUAAAAUUAAAGCAUUAAUCUGCAGUUUUCAUUUCCCCAGCAUCCGUGAAAGCCCACGCUUGCUAGAACAGCACAUCUGCCCUUAAUAGCUGGAAAUCCUUUUCAGUCGCCUGAGUCAUGGAUGCUGGAUUUUCCUCCAUUCCGAGUGUUUGGGAUCCUCGGAAAAAAGGCCAUGAAGAAUAUUUGUGGCAGAUUUUGGUUUCUGUGCCAGAGUUAUUAUAGUUAACUAAAACCAUCAAAAACAUUUGUGCAACUACAGUAUUUUAUCAUUAUAUAUA